ensembl:misc_RNA Y_RNA Y RNA
CCUUGGUCUGAUGGUAGUGGGUUAUCAGAACUUAUUAACAUUAUUGUCACUAAAGUUGGUAUACAGUCCCCCACUGCUCAAUUUGACUGGCUUAA